CGCCUCUGGCCGCAGUGCCUGACGGGAGGCGGAGAGGCGAAAGAGACUGUCCGCCAUUUUGUGUCUGUUUCCUGUGGGACGCGGUCAUAACCGU
rnacentral:pre_miRNA from 15 species